UAAUGACGGGUAUCACGGGGUAUGACUAUAUAAGUCUUGUAGAGGACAAACAGGCGCAUCUUUUGCGCAAGGUAUCGAAGGGCGCUAUGUUCAAAAAUCUGAAACUAAAGCUCAAAAUUUAAAAAAAAAAUUGUUAAAAACAGGGGGGUUGGCCUAUUCCAUGGCUUCUACAGAAAAAAAAUCAGGAGUGUCACGGGGUAUGACUAUAUAGGUCUUGUAGAGGAGAAACAGACGCAUCUUUUGCGCAAGAUACCGAAGGGCGCUAUGUUCAAAAAUCUAAAACUAGAGCUCAAAAUUUGAAAAAAAAAUUGUUAAAAACCGGGGGGUUGGCCUAUUCCAUGGCUUCUAGAGAAAAAUAAUGAGGGGUGUCACGGGGUAUGACUAUAUAGGUCUUGUAGAGGAGAAACAGGCGCAUCUUUUGCGUUAGGUAUCGAAGGGCGCUAUGUUCAAAAAUCUGAAACUAGAGCUCAAAAUUUGAAAAAAAAAUUUGUUAAAAACAGGGGGUUGGCCUAAACCAUGGCUUCUAGAGAAAAAUAAUGAGGGGUGUAACGGGGUAUGACUAUAAAGUUCUUGUAGAAGAGAAACAGGCGCAUCUUUUGCGCAAGGUAUCGAAGGGCGCUAUGUUCAAAAAUCUGAAACUAGAGCUCAAAAUUUGAAAAAAAUUUGUUAAAAACAGGGGGGGUUGGCCUUUUCCUUGGCUUCUACAGAAAAAUAAUGAGGGGUGUCACGGGGUAUGACAAUAUAGGUCUUGUAGAAGAGAAACAGGCGCAUCUCUUGCGCAAGGUAUCGAAGGGCGCUAUGUUCAAAAAUCUGAAACUAGAGCUCAAAAUUUGAAAAAAAAUUGUUAAAAACAGGGGGAUUGGCCUAUUCCAUGGCUUCUAGAGAAAAAUAAUGAGGAGUGUCAGGGGGUAUGACUAUAUAGGUCUUGUAGAGGAGAAACAGGCGCAUCUUUUGCGCAAGGUAUCGAAGGGCGCUAUGUUCAAAAAUCUGAAACUAGAGCUCAAAAUUUGAAAAAAAAAUGUUAAAAACAGGGGGGUUGGCCUAUUCCAUGGCUUCUACAGAAAAAUAAUGAGGGGUGUCACGGUGUAUGACUAUAUAGGUCUUGUAGAGGAGAAACAGGCGCAUCUUUUGCGCAAGGUAUCGAAGGGCGCUAUGUUCAAAAAUCUGAAACUAGAGCUCAAAAUUUGAAAAAAAUUUGUUAAAAACAGGGGGGGUUGGCCUUUUCCUUGGCUUCUACAGAAAAAUAAUGAGGGGUGUCACGGGGUAUGACAAUAUAGGUCUUGUAGAAGAGAAACAGGCGCAUCUCUUGCGCAAGGUAUCGAAGGGCGCUAUGUUCAAAAAUCUGAAACUAGAGCUCAAAAUUUGAAAAAAAUUGUUAAAAACAGGGGGGUUGGCCUAUUCCAUGGCUUCUAGAGAAAAAUAAUGAGGGGUGUCACGGGGUAUGACUAUAUAGUUCUUGUAGAGGAGAAACAGGCACAUCUUUUGCGCAAGGUAUCGAAGGGCGCUAUGUUCAAAAAUCUGAAACUAGAGCUCAAAAUUUGAAAAAAAAAUGUUAAAAACAGGGGGGUUGGCCUAUUCCAUGGCUUCUACAGAAAAAUAAUGAGGGGUGUCACGGGAUAUGACUAUAUAGGUCUUGUAGAGGAGAAACAGGCGCAUCUUUUGCGCAAGGUAUCGAAGGGCGCUAUGUUCAAAAAUCUGAAACUAGAGAUCAAAAUUUGAAAAAAAAUUCUUAACAAUAGGGGGGUUGGCCUAUUCCAUGGUUUAUAGAGAAAAAUAAUGAGGGGUGUCACGGGGUAUGACUAUAUAGGUCUUGUAGAGGAGAAACAGGCGCAUUUUUUGUGCAAGGUAUCGAAGGGCGCUAUGUUAAAAAAUCUGAAACUAGAGCUCAAAAUUUGAAAAAAAAUUGUUAAAAACAGGGGGAUUGGCCUAUUCCAUGGCUUCUAGAGAAAAAUAAUGAGGAGUGUCACGGGUAUGACUAUAUAGGUCUUGUAGAGGAGAAACAGGCGCAUCUUUUGCGCAAGGUAUCGAAGGGCGCUAUGUUCAAAAAUCUGAAACUAGAGCUCAAAAUUUGAAAAAAAAAUGUUAAAAACAGGGGGGUUGGCCUAUUCUAUGGCUUCUAGAGAAAAAUAAUGAGGGGUGUCACGGGGUAUGACUAUAUAGGUCUUGUAGAGGAAAAACAGGCGCAUCUUUUGCGCAAGGUAUCGUAGGGUGCUAUGUUCAAAAAUCUGAAACUAGAGCUCAAAAUUUGAAAAAAAAAUUGUUAAAAACAGGGGAUUGGCCUAAACCAUGGCUUCUAGAGAAAAAUAAUGAGGGGUGUCACGGGGUAUGACAGUAUAGGUCUUGUAGAAGAGAAACAGGCGCAUCUCUUGCGCAAGGUAUCGAAGGGUGCUAUGUUCAAAAAUCUGAAACUAGAGCUGAAAAUUUGAAAAAAAUUGUUAAAAACAGGGGGGUUGGCCUAUUCCAUGGCUUCUACAGAAAAAUAAUGAGGGUGUCACGGGGUAUGACUAUAUAGGUCUUGUAGAGGAGAAACAGGCGCAUCUUUUGCGCAAGGUAUCGAAGGGCGCUAUGUUCAAAAAUCUGAAACUAGAGCUCAUAAUUUGAAAAAAAAAUGUUAAAAACAGAGGGGUUGGCCUAUUCCAUGGCUUCUACAGAAAAAUAAUGAGGGGUGUCACGGGGUAUAACUAUAUAGGUCUUGUAGAAGAGAAACAGGCGCAUCUCUUGCGCAAGGUAUCGAAGGGCGCUAUGUUCAAAAAUCUGAAACUAGAGCUCAAAAUUUGAAAAAAAUUGUUAAAAACAGGGGGGUUGGCCUAUUCCAUGGCUUCUACAGAAAAAUAAUGAGGGGUGUCACGGGGUAUGACUAUAUAGGUCUUGUAGAGGAGAAACAGGCGCAUCUUUUGCGCAAGGUAUCGAAGGGCGCUAUGUUCAAAAAUCUGAAACUAGAGCUCAAAAUUUGAAAACAAAAUGUUAAAAACAGGGGGGUUGGCCUAUUCCAUGGCUUCUACAGAAAAAUAAUGAGGGGUGUCACGGGGUAUGACAAUAUAGGUCUUGUAGAAGAGAAACAGGCGCAUCUCUUGCGCAAGGUAUCGAAGGGCGCUAUGUUCAAAAAUCUGAAACUAGAGAUCAAAAUUUGAAAAAAAAUUGUUAACAACAGGGGGGUUGGCCUAUUCAUGGUUUCUAGAGAAAAAUAAUGAGGGGUGUCACGGGGUAUGACUAUAUAGGUCUUGUAGAGGAGAAACAGGCGCAUUUUUUGUGCAAGGUAUCGAAGGGCGCUAUGUUAAAAAAUCUGAAACUAGAGCUCAAAAUUUGAAAAAAAUUUGUUAAAAACAGGGGGAUUGGCCUAUUCCAUGGCUUCUAGAGAAAAAUAAUGAGAAGUGUCACGGGUAUGACUAUAUAGGUCUUGUAGAGGAGAAACAGGCGCAUCUUUUGCGCAAGGUAUCGAAGGGCGCUAUGUUCAAAAAUCUGAAACUAGAGCUCAAAAUUUGAAAAAAAAAAUGUUAAAAACAGGGGGUUUGGUCUAUUCUAUGGCUUCUAGAGAAAAAUAAUGAGGGGUGUCACGGGGUAUGACUAUAUAGGUCUUGUAGAGGAGAAACAGGCGCAUCUUUUGCGCAAGGUAUCGAAGGGUGCUAUGUUCAAAAAUCUGAAACUAGAGUUGAAAAUUUGAAAAAAAUUGUUAAAAACAGGGGGGUUGGCCUAUUCCAUGGCUUCUACAGAAAAAUAAUGAGGGUGUCACGGGGUAUGACUAUAUAGGUCUUGUAGAAGAGAAACAGGCGCAUCUUUUGCGCAAGGUAUCGAAGGGCGCUAUGUUCAAAAAUCUGAAACUAGAGCUCAAAAUUUGAAAAAAAAAUGUUAAAAACAGGGGGGUUGGCCUAUUCCAUGGCUUCUACAGAAAAAUAAUGAGGGGUGUCACGGGGUAUGACUAUAUAGGUCUUGUAGAGGAGAAACAGGCGCAUCUUUUGCGCAAGGUAUCAAAGGGCGCUAUGUUCAAAAAUCUGAAACUAGAGCACAAAAUUUGAAAAAAAAAUGUUAAAAACAGAGGGGUUGGCCUAUUCCAUGGCUUCUACAGAAAAAUAAUGAGGGGUGUCACGGGGUAUGACUAUAUAGGUCUUGUAGAGGAGAAACAGGCGCAUCUUUUGCGCAAGGUAUCGAAGGGCGCUAUGUUCAAAAAUCUGAAACUAGAGCUCAAAAUUUGAAAAAAAUUGUUAAAAACAGGGGGGUUGGCCUAUUCCAUGGCUUCUACAGAAAAAUAAUGAGGGGUGUCACGGGGUAUGACUAUAUAGGUCUUGUAGAGGAGAAACAGGCGCAUCUUUUGCGCAAGGUAUCGAAGGGUGCUAUGUUCAAAAAUCUGAAACUAGAGUUGAAAAUUUGAAAAAAAUUGUUAAAAACAGGGGGGUUGGCCUAUUCCAUGGCUUCUACAGAAAAAUAAUGAGGGUGUCACGGGGUAUGACUAUAUAGGUCUUGUAGAAGAGAAACAGGCGCAUCUUUUGCGCAAGGUAUCGAAGGGCGCUAUGUUCAAAAAUCUGAAACUAGAGCUCAAAAUUUGAAAAAAAAAUGUUAAAAACAGGGGGGUUGGCCUAUUCCAUGGCUUCUACAGAAAAAUAAUGAGGGGUGUCACGGGGUAUGACUAUAUAGGUCUUGUAGAGGAGAAACAGGCGCAUCUUUUGCGCAAGGUAUCAAAGGGCGCUAUGUUCAAAAAUCUGAAACUAGAGCUCAAAAUUUGAAAAAAAAAUGUUAAAAACAGAGGGGUUGGCCUAUUCCAUGGCUUCUACAGAAAAAUAAUGAGGGGUGUCACGGGGUAUGACUAUAUAGGUCUUGUAGAGGAGAAACAGGCGCAUCUUUUGCGCAAGGUAUCGAAGGGCGCUAUGUUCAAAAAUCUGAAACUAGAGCUCAAAAUUUGAAAAAAAAAAUGUUAAAAACAGGGGGGUUGGCCUAUUCCAUGGCUUCUACAGAAAAAUAAUGAGGGGUGUCACGGGGUAUGACUAUAUAGGUCUUGUAGAGGAGAAACAGGCGCAUCUUUUGCGCAAGGUAUCGAAGGGCGCUAUGUUCAAAAAUCUGAAACUAGAGCUCAAAAUUUGAAAAAAAGAAUUGUUAAAAACAGGAGAUUGGCCUAAACCAUGGCUUCUAGAGAAAAAUAAUGAGGGGUGUCACAGGGUAUGACUAUAUACGUCUUGUAGAAGAGAAACAGGAGCAUCUUUUGCGCAAGGUUUCCAAGGGCGCUAUGUUCAAAAAUCUGAAACUAGAGCUCAAAAUUUGAAAAAAAAUUGUUAAAAACAGGGGGGUUGGCCUAAUCAAUGGCUUCUACAGAAAAAUAAUGAGGGGUGUCACGGGGUA